rnacentral:rRNA from 1 species
UACGGGGGGGGCAAGCGUUGUUCGGAAUUAUUGGGCGUAAAGGGCGCGUAGGCGGCUUGACAAGUCAAAGGUGAAAUCCCUCGGCUCAACUGAGGAACUGCCUUUGAAACUGUCUGGCUUGAGGCCGGGAGGGGGUAGCGGAAUUCCCAGUGUAGCGGUGAAAUGCGUAGAUAUUGGGAGGAACACCAGUGGCGAAGGCGGCUACCUGGACCGGUUCUGACGCUGAUGCGCGAAAGCGUGGGUAGCAAACAGG